GUCUCCAGCCAUUCCACCCUGAUCACACCUGAUCUCGUAAGCUAAGCAGGGUCGGGCCUGGUUAGUACUUGGAUGGGAGGUAGGCUCAGGUUUAAACU
rnacentral:rRNA from 1 species